GAUACAUGAUUAUUAAUCCUGAGAUGACAAAGAAGCAAGUCAUACGCCCAUUUCUUUUGCCAGGGACCAUAGCCUUGGAGCAUGAAGUAAAAUAAAGUUCCAUCUGCUGACAUAUAUGCGUACAAUGAAACAUCUCUGUGAAUACCUAUGGUUCCUACAGCAAACUUGUAAAGCAUGGGAAAUGCAUACCUACACCUACACAUGUCUUGAAGUACAGGCUUAAACAGUGAUCCUUGGUGUAUGACGCAUUAGUGAGGCUGAAAUUCAGGUCUGGUAUUCACCCUGAAUCUGCCUGACAGAUGACCUAUAUUAGAAAAUGGGGAACAUGCAACCAUAUUGAUUCCUAUGGAAUUGUAAGUGACUUGAUAUUAUCAGUCAUAGUAUUUCUCUGGAUGAGCUGCCUAACAGGAAAUUGGGUGGGCUUUGUUUCAUUGAUCCUUUGAUAUUGUGAAAUUAUGAUGUUGUGUUGACUGUUUAUUGCCUAUAUUUUGUUUUGCACUUGUUGUAUUUUGUGUCACGCCUGGAGUGUUUUGUGAGCCGCCCUGAGUCCCUCUGGGAAAUGGUGGAAGGAUAUAAAUAAAGUUUAUUAUUAUAAUUAUGAUUAUUUGAUUCCAGAACAUGGUCUUGGAGGGUAAAGGGACGCACUGUGUUCCACUCUGUCCCACUCUGCUACAAGCAUGGACAAUUUUCUGACCCCGAGUACCACUUGUAGUGCUGGCUGAAACACUGGGACCCCAUAUAUUUUCAUGCAAAUCUCAUCAAUAUUCUUUCCUUGCUGGCAGGGAGAGGACAGAUGUCUUUCCACCAUCCCCUGGUUUAGAGAGAAUGGCCUGUAUGAGCAUUCCUGAGAAGAUGCAAAAAGGAAUCUCCAGUCCCAUCCCAAUUUACUCCAGCAGAAAAGUCGUCUAGAGAUUUGUAGACACGUAUCAUCAAGAUGUGUUAAUUCUACUUCCUUCACCCAUCUAAUUCAGGAUCCCAAGCUUUCCUCUACUUUGGAUUCUCCCACAACUUCCUUUGGUGGCCAUGGAGAUUCUGUCAUUUCAGAAUAAAGUAUCUUAAAGUUGUUUCAAGUAGCUGCCAUUCAAUUACUGAAGAAAAUGCAGUGGUGGGGUGGGCAGGAGUGAUAAAGGGUAAUGAAGACUGCCCCCAACAACAUGAACUUCCUCAAUCCAACAUAAAAUGGUAUGCAAGUAUGGGGACACCAGUUCUGGUACUACAGGAGACACUUUUGAUGUUCAUCAUUAGGUCUCCAUCCACCACCACUACCAUCACUAUUCUGCCUUUAAUCCACUUUCAGACUGAAGGUUGCUUACAAACAAUUCGAAAAAAUAGUCAAUAAUUCACAAAUAUCUAAGUUAAAAACGGAUUAAACUAUCAAAAAAAGUACAGUUAAAAACAUGGAACCAUGAUCAUCAACAAAAUAACGGAGAAUCCAGCAUAUAGCACUAAGCCCAUUCUGCCUAAACAAUCAGUCUUCAAAGGGCUAUUGACACAGAAAAGUCUUCACCUGUUUAUGGAAAGAGAUGGGGAAGAAUAACAGUCUAACCCAGACAUGGGCAAAUUUCAGCCCUCUGGGUGUUUUGGACUUCAACUGCCACAAUUCCUAACAGCUGGAAAGAUAGCUGGGAUUUCUAGGAGUUGAAGUCCAAAACACUUGGAGGGCCGAAGUUUGCUCAUACCUAGUCCAGCUUCUAUAGGAAAAGAGCUACAGGCUUGGGAGCAGCUACUGAGAAGGCUUCCUCCUGUGCUCCCAUCAGAUAUGUCUGGAAGGGUGAUGAGAUACAGAGAAGGACCUUCACAACAAGUCUCAAAUCAUGAGCUGGUUUGCAAGCAACGACAUGGUGAAAUAAUGUGGACAUGAGCUGUAUAGGGCUUGCAUGUUAGGCAGUUACAUGUAAUGUGACAUCUUCAGGCUGUGUACUAGAAAAGGCAAACUGACAUAAAAAGACUGAGUCAUAAAAGACUUAAUCUACCCACUAAUAGAUAUGUGAUGCAGUACAAACUAGGAUUCCCCAAUAUCUGGUAUUCUUCAAUACUAUAAACAAAUUCUGUAUUCUCUACUUUGCCUUUUCUUCGCAAUGAAGCUGCAUUAUUUAUCAAGGUUUUUUUUUUGAAUGACAUCAAAAUUGGCUCCUUUUCAGUUCUGGGAAAUAACUAGGCAGCCAGAGAACAAAGGCUUGUUUAGUGUUCACUGGUCCUCACUGCAAAGAUGUCAGUGUUGCAAAAAAUACACAUUGCAGAGAUCUGCUGCUUUACAUUUAAGACAAACCUAUUUUCACCACAUGCUUUGGUGUAAAUGACAGGUGGAAGCACAGGUUAAUCAAGCUGAAGUCAGGAAGCCCCCCCCCCCCCCCAAAAAAAAAUUAUAUAGACCAAGCUUCUAAUUCCCAAAGAACAUUAUCUGCAGGCACAAGUCCAGUGCAGGCAUGUUGCUUUUCAGAAAUGUCUGUGGACUGGGCAGCAAGUGUAGGCCUUUUACCAGAGCUAAAGUUCACACACAGUCAUUUACUCAUGCAAAUCAAUUAAACAAAAUUCAGAAAUGGCCAAAGACUGGAUUCUGAACUCAC
rnacentral:lncRNA from 11 species